rnacentral:rRNA from 1 species
UGGGGAAUUUUGGACAAUGGGCGAAAGCCUGAUCCAGCAAUGCCGCGUGUGUGAAGAAGGCCUUCGGGUUGUAAAGCACUUUUGUCCGGAAAGAAAUCCUUGGCUCUAAUACAGUCGGGGGAUGACGGUACCGGAAGAAUAAGCACCGGCUAACUACGUGCCAGCAGCCGCGGUAAUACGUAGGGUGCAAGCGUUAAUCGGAAUUACUGGGCGUAAAGCGUGCGCAGGCGGUUUGCUAAGACCGAUGUGAAAUCCCCGGGCUCAACCUGGGAACUGCAUUGGUGACUGGCAGGCUAGAGUAUGGCAGAGGGGGGUAGAAUUCCACGUGUAGCAGUGAAAUGCGUAGAGAUGUGGAGGAAUACCGAUGGCGAAGGCAGCCCCCUGGGCCAAUACUGACGCUCAUGCACGAAAGCGUGGGGAGCAAACAGGAUUAGAUACCCUGGUAGUCCACGCCCUAAAACGAUGUCAACUAGUUGUUGGGGAUUCAUUUCCUUAGUAACGUAGCUAACGCGUGAAGUUGACCGCCUGGGGAGUACGGUCGCAAGAUUAAAACUAAAUGAAUUGACGGGGUCAUAGCUG